ensembl:lncRNA
AUUUAAGGGCCUGCAGCUGCAAGGGAAGCUUCUCUGCUCCAAGGUUGCUUUCUUUGGAGUAUUUGGUGAGCCCUGAUCCUUGGAAAGGGCAAGAGGGAGGAUGGCCAGGAGAGCUGACAAAAAACUGCCCAAAGGCAAACCAGGAAGUGGCUGGACGUCUUCCUGAUGUCAAGUGGUUGCGGCUCCGGCAGCUCCUUCAGGCCUCAGCUACUGCUGCACCAUGGGCUCUUCCAUGACAGCGCAUGAAGAUCUACUCUGGGGACUGCCUACUCCUCCAUGGACUUCUUCUGUGCUGCAGGGAGCUUCUCUGCACCUGGAGCAGCUCAGUGCAGAAGGAGGGCGUGACCUUGGUAUUUGGAGGGCUGUUUCUCUCACAUUUCUCAGUCCUCUCUCUCAGCUGCUGUUGCACAGCAGUUUUUCACUUUCUUAACUCUGCUCCUUAAUAGAGUCAUCAUACAGUGUCUUGGAUUAGAAGGGACCUCAAGGAUCACCAAGUUCCAACAGCCCUGCCAUAAGCAGGGUUGUCAAGGGUCUACUACUAGAUCAGGUUGCCCAGGGCCCCACCCUACUUUGAGCCUCACAAGGAUAGAGUAGAGAGGGGCAAGCACCUCCCUCAGCCUGCUGGUCCACCCUUCUUCUGAUGCAGCCCAGGAUACCAUUGACCUUCCAGAGGGCAGCUGUGCACUCUGCUUGCUCGUGUUAAGUUUUUCAUCUGCCAGGACUCCUAAAUCCUUCUCAGCAGGGCUACUUUUAAGGAGUUUUUCUCCCAGCCUGUGUAUAUACCUGGGAUUACCUUGACCUAAGUGUAGAAUCUUGCACUUUACUUUGCUGAACCUCAUUAGAUUCAGAUGGGCCCACCUUUUGAGUCUGUUGAGGUCCCUCUGGAUGGCAUCCCUUCCCUUCUAUUGAAUCAACUGCACCACUCAACUUGGUGUCAUUGGCAAACUUGCUAGGGAUGAACUUGAUGCCAUCAUCUAUGUCACUGAUAAAGAAAUUAAAGAAUGCCAGUCUCAAGACAGACCCCUGGGGGUCUGUCACCAGCCUCCACUUGGACAUAGAGCUAUUGAUCACAACCCUCUGGCUGCAAACUUCCAACCAAUUCCAUGUCUACGGAAUACUCCACCAUUCAAAUCCAUCUCUCUCCAAUUUAGAGUUAAGGAUGUGGUGGAGGACCUUGUCAAAGGCUUUGCGGAAGUCUGGGUAGAUUACAUCAAUUGCCUUUCUGGGUGUGCCAUGAGCAUACCCAGCAUUGUUCAUGGCUCAGCUCUGUCAGCAGCAAGUCCCUCUUGGAGCAGCUGAAGCUGUACUCUCUAUAACGACCUGAAGGGAGGUUAUAGUGAGCUGGAGGUCGGCCUCUUCUCUUGUGUGACUAGUGAUAGGACUAGAGGAAAUGGCUUCAAGCUGCACCAGGGAAGGUUCAGGCUGGGCAUUAGGAAAUAUUACUUCUCUGAAAGGGUGGUCAGGCACUGGAAUGGGCUGCCCAGAGAGGUGGUGGAGCCACCGACCCUGGAGGUGUUCAAGGAAUGUUUGGACGUUGUGUUGAGGGGCGUGGUUUAAUGAUGACUAUUGGUGAUGGAUGGAUGGUUGAACUGGGUGAUCCUGUAGGCCUUUUCUAACCUUUGUGAUUCUAUGAUUCUAUACUUCUCUGACACGCGGCAGUGCUAGUCACUGCUCACAGAGAUCACCCCUGCAACUCCCCACCUACAUAAGCCCAAUACCUCGCUACAAAGCAACUUCAGUCAACGCUAAGGGUUUGUAUAUACAUGCGUGUAUGUAUAUUUAUGUGUAAAUACAUAUAUACAUGCUCAUGUAUCCAUGUACAUGUAUAUAUAGCAAAUGUAUAGGUCUAUAUGUUUUUAAGCAAUUUUUUUUUCCUGAAAUAUUUUGUUUACUUUAUAAAUACAUGUGCAUUUGUUUCAAUAUAAC